UACAGAGGGUGCAAGCGUUCAUCGGCAUUACUGGGCGUAAAGCGUGCGUAGACGGUUACAUAAGUCGGGUGUGAAAGCCCCGGGCUCAACCUGGGAAUUGCAUUCGAGACUGCGUAGCUAGGGUGCGGAAGAGGGAAGCGGAAUUUCCGGUGUAGCGGUGAAAUGCGUAGAUAUCGGAAGGAACACCAGUGGCGAAAGCGGCUUCCUGGUCCAGCACCGACGUUCAGGCACGAAAGCGUGGGGAGCAAACAGG
rnacentral:rRNA from 1 species